GACGAACGCUGGCGGCGUGCCUAAUACAUGCAAGUCGAGCGAAUGGAUGGGAGCUUGCUCCCUGAAGUUAGCGGCGGACGGGUGAGUAACACGUGGGCAACCUGCCUAUAAGACUGGGAUAACUUCGGGAAACCGGAGCUAAUACCGGAUAAUUCAUAUCUACUCAUGUAGAUAUGCUGAAAGACGGUUUACGCUGUCACUUAUAGAUGGGCCCGCGGCGCAUUAGCUAGUUGGUGAGGUAACGGCUCACCAAGGCCACGAUGCGUAGCCGACCUGAGAGGGUGAUCGGCCACACUGGGACUGAGACACGGCCCAGACUCCUACGGGAGCAGCAGUAGGGAAUCUUCCGCAAUGGACGAAAGUCUGACGGAGCAACGCCGCGUGAGUGAUGAAGGUUUUCGGA
rnacentral:rRNA from 1 species